rnacentral:pre_miRNA from 1 species
GAUUUCAUCUAAAAAAGUCAUCAAUAACAAAGUUGUAUAACUCAUCAAGAUCUAUAACUUCUAUUAUGGUCAUUUCUUCAUCCGACAAAGUGAUUUACAAGAUUGUUCACAAAAUGUACAUCUCUUGUAUAAUAACUUCUAUUUUGGUCAUUUCUUCAUCAGACAAAGUGAUUUGCAAGAUUGUUCACAAAAUAUACAUCUCUUGUAUAUUUAUCCGACAAAGUGAUUUGCAAGAUUGUUCACAAAACGUACAUCUCUUGUAUAUGUACAUUUUGUGAACAAUAUUGCAAAUCACUUUGUCGGAUGAAGAAAUGACCAAAAAUAUAGAAGUUAUAGAUAUUGAUGAGUUAUACAACUUUGUUAUUGAUGACUUUUUCAGUUGAAAUC